UACCGUGCUCUAGUAUUUAACAUAUGGAAUGGUCCAGAAUUGUCCUGACCAGAGUUCCUCAAAGUCAAUCCUUCUUCUUCCAGAAACAUCUCCAUGGUUGAAGAAAUCGACCUCUCAACUGAAGGAGACGGUGAGAUGAGGAGAUUAGUUAGCUCAAUCACUUCAAAAAGGCAGAGCUAGAUCAAUUACAUCUGAGCUUGAACAGAUUUCACUAAAGACACUAAAAAGAUCUCACAAGUGCUAUAAGAGCAGAUCGUUUGAAGACUUCUUCAACUCGGGUUUGAUUGAGCCUCUUUGAGAUGGAUACCACUGCAUAAGACUACCAUUAACGAGUUCCAUCUCUACACAACAACCUACAGUACUUUUACAAAAACUUGACUCAAAUCGGCAGUGUGGCGAUAUUUCGGGAUCAUGGAGCAAAGACAAGCUAUUUAUGGGUGACUCAAGACUUGCAGUUCAGCAUCGAGAUCCAAGUACUAGUUGCCGCUGUUGAUGCUGUGAUUAUGUUGACUAGAGUUUGAAGAUAGGAUGGCUAGGAUGCGUGCUACUACUACACGAGAUGAGGACUCUGAGAUUCCACCACCCCAGCUAAUGGUAGUCCAAGGAUCAGUCCAGGAUCUACUAGGGUUUAUUUCUUCUUCACUGCUCAAAGAUGCAUUAGUUUAGCUCUUGGGAUAAGUUGGUGGUGCACCAUUUGAUGUGCUUAAUUUAUGGAUCAGAGUGGUACUGAGGCAGGGUUGCAACCUGCAGUUGUGGCUCUCAGAGUUGAGGUUCCUUAUGUGUGCGUAGUUGCUCAGUCGAUAGGUUGCCCAGCCUGCUAUGUCUAUUGAGAAGUAAAAAUUGUUGGGUAAAUUUUUGCGAUUGACUCCACCUAGGUAUUUUGUGCACUAGACAAGGAUGCUUAUGAGUUCUUAGUUGCUUGUGAGGAUAAUCUCCAUAAUUUGGGCCUAGUUGAGACUCGUGGUAUGGAUUACACUAUUUUUUAGUUGGAUUUGUCAACUCGACAUUGAUGGAGAUGUCAUCUUUAUUCCAGGCCUACUGGAUCUACCUCAUUGAUAUGAAUUUAGUUCUUUAAGUUUUAUUUGGAGGAGUAUAUGCCUCUCAGUAUUAAGAAUCAUCUCUGAGAUCAACUCUCGAGGUUGGAGUAGUGGUCAAUGACUAUUAUGGAGUAUGAGGCUUGAUUUCAUGAGUUGGAUCGGCAUGCUAACUCUAUUUUAUCAAUUGAGUAUGAGAGGAUUCAAUGUUUUGUUCAAGGAUUAAGAAUUCCUUUUCAUAUGGAUACACAAAGUUUUGUUGCUACAUGUAUAUCUUUUGUUGAGGUUUUUGAUAUACACAGGUUAUGGAAGAGAUGUAUUAUGAGGACCAAAGGGGCAGCGAUAGCGAUAAGAGGCCAUUAUAUUAGGAUAGUUUUAGUAGAAGCCGUACUGGGUCACGGUUUAGAGAAAGUGGUUCCCAGGGUAGGUACCCUCUACAUCAGCCUUAUCAGUAUCAGGGUCAAUCUACUAGGCCAAUUUAUGUUGUACUUAAGAUUGUCGAUGGAGGCCAGUCUGGUUAUACUAAUCAUCCUAGCCAGAUUUAUGGUUAGCCUCUGAGGGGUUUAUCCUUGAGAUAUUCUAGCCGUGGUGGUUAUUUCGAAUCAGCCGGAUCUUUUGGUUUUAGUACAACACUUGGGGCGUAUUAUGGGGCAGUUAUUCCAGCAACUUAUAGUGUUCAGCAAAUUGGGGCAGUACUGACCCCAACUAGAGGUGGUAUGCAUGAUCGUUGGGGUAGUCCCUAGGGUACACAUGGAGGUCCUUAGAGAGGUAGGAUAAGAGAUCGGUCAAGAGCCCAGCCAGGUGGCGAGCGUGGUCAGUUGUAUGAUAUACUUGCUAUACGUAAGACAGAGUCUCCAGAUACUAUUAUUAUAUACAUGAUUUUAGUAUGCCACCAACUGACUUUUAAUUUAUUUGAUCUGAGAUCCAUUUAUUCUUAUGUGUCUGCUUACUAUGCCCUAUUAUUAGAGUUAUCUUGGGAUUCUUAAUCUGUGCCAUUAUGUGUAUCUACUCUUCUGGGUGAUUCUUUAAUAGUUGAUUAGGUUUAUAGAUCCUGUGUUGUGACUGAUCGAGAGUUUGAUACUUAGAUAUGGUGAAUUUUGAUGUGAUUCUGGGCAUGGAUUGGUUAUCCCCUAUUAUGUGGUCUUGAAUUAUUUUGACAAAACUGUUACCUUAGCCAUGCCUAGCAACCCCAGUUGUGUGGCAGAGAUCUAUUAGCCAUGGGUCCGUUGGGAUUAUUUCUUAUUUUCAGGCUAGGAGACUUAUUUUUAGGGGUUGUAAGUCUUGUCUCACUUAUAUUUGUGAUGUUAGUGUGGAGAGUCCCUCAAUUAACUCUUUUUCUAUAGUCCGUGAGUUUCCUAUUGUUUUCUCUAACGAGUACCUGGUCUUCCUAUUGAGCGUGAUAUUGAGUUUAUUAGUGAUCUUGAGCUUGGCACCCGACCUAUUUUUAUGGCACUUUAUUGUAUGUCUCCUAGCUAAAUUCUCAGCUUUGGUAUCUUCUAGAUAAGGAUUUCAUUAGAUUGAGUAUGUUGCCUUGGGUGCUCCUAUUUUGUUCAUGAAGAAGAAGGAUGGUUCCUUGUAUAUAUGUAUUGACUACAUGUAACUUAAUAAGGUAACAGUGAAGGAUAGGUAUCUUAUGCUUUGCAUUGAUGAUCUAUUUGACUAGCUUUAGGGAGUGGCAGUGUUCUCUAAGAUUUACUUGAGGUACAGUUACCAUCAGUUGAGGAUUUGGGCUGAGGAAAUCCCAAAGAUAGCCUUUAGGACUCAUUAUGGCCAUUAUGAGUUCCAAGUGACAUCUUUUGGGUUGACCAAUGCCCCAACAAUGUUCAUGGAUUUGAUGAAUUAUGUGUUCAGGCCUUUUUUGGAUUCCUAGUUGAUUGUGUCCAUCGAUGGCAUCCUUAUGUAUUCGAGGAGUAGAGAGAAGCAUAUGCAACAUUUGAGGAUUGUGAUCCAGACUUUGAGAGAUCAUAGACUUUCUGCCAACUUAUCUAAGUAUUAGUUCUGGCUUGAUUCAGUGACUUUCCUAGGACAUGUGGUUUCUAAGAUGGAAUUAUGGUGGACCCAACAAAGAUUGAGGCUAUUCGUGAUUGGGUCAGGCCUAAAUAUCCGCCUGAGGUUCAUAGUUUCAUUGGCUUGGUUGGUUACUAUAGGUGAUUCAUUGAGGCUUUUGCUACUGUUACAGCGCCAAUGACCAGAUUGACUCAGAUAGAGGUUUCUUUCUAGUGGUUCGAGGAGUGUGAGUUGAGAUUUUAAAAGCUCAAGGGAUUUGUCACUUUAGCUGCUAUAUUGUCUCUUAAGGGAUUCACUGUGAUGCUUUCAGUGUUGGUUUAGGUUUUGUGUUGAUGCAACAAGGUCAAGUUAUUACUUAUGUGUUGAGGCAGAUAAAGGUUCACGAGCUCAACUUCCCAUUAAUGAUUUGGAGUUGGCGGCGAUAGUUUUCACACUUUAGAUUUAGAGGCAUUAUCUUAAUGGUAUGCAUUGUGAGAUCUAUACGGAUCAUCAUAGUCUUCAACACCUUAUGACUCAAAGAGAGCUUAAUUCUAAGAAGCAUAGAUGGAUGAAGUUGCUUAAGGAUUAUGACAAAUCUAUUCUAUAUCAUCUAGGCAAAGCGAACCUGGUAGGGGAUGCCUUGAGCCAAAAGGCAGUAAGUAUGAGUAGCUUGUAUUGUAUCUCAGUUUCUCAGAGUCCGUUGGUGUGGAGCAUUCAGUCCUUAGCCAACUUGAUGGUGUGACUUGAUAUCUUUGUCCCCAGGAGGUUCUUGUUAGUACUGAGGCAAGGUGUACUUUAUUUGAGUAGAUUUGAAGUCUCCAGUUCGAGGAUGUGAGACUUUAUGUCAUCAUUGACUAGGUGUUGAGUGGUGUGUCCAAGAGGGAUACCAUAAAUUCAGAGGGUGUUCUAAGAUAUGAUCGCCACCUUUGUGUUUUGAGGGUUGGAGACUUGAUUUAGUCAAUAUUACGUGAGGAUUAUAUCUAUAGAUACUGUAUUCACCCUGGUACAACUAAGAUGUAUAAAGAUUUUAGGUAACACUAUUGCUGGAGUGGCAUGAAGAGAGAUGUGGCAGACUUUGUAGCUCAUUGCCUAUGUUGUUAGAAUAUUAAGGACAAGCAUUAGAGACUUGGUGGCUAGAAUCAAAUGUUGCUUAUUCUUGAGUUGAAGUGGGAGCAGAUCACCAUGGACUUUGUUAGUGGUCCACCUCAAACUUUCCAUGAUUUUGAUGGUAUUUGGGUUAUUGUAGAUUGGUUGACCAAGUCGGCAUACUUUAUUCCUAUUCAGAUGUCCUUUAGCACCGAGAGGUUAGCCCGUAUCUAUAUUCAUGCAAUAUUUUAUUCGAAUGGUGUGCCUAUAUCCGUCAUAUCAGAUUCGGUUCAGUAUUACUUCUAGCUUUUGGCAUGCUUUUUAAAAGGAGUUGGGUACUCAAAUAAAUCUUAGCACAACCUUCCAACCCCAGACCAAUGGGCAGUCAGAGUAGACUAUUCAGAUUCUUAAGGAUAUGCUCCAAGCCCGUGUUAUGGAUUUUGGAGGUAAGUGGGAGAAAAAUUUAGCAUUAGCAGAGUUUGCAUAUAAUGAUAGCUACUAUUUGAGUAUUUAGAUGACACCAUUAGAGGCUUUACAUGGUGGACAUAUCGUUCUUCGAUUGGAUAGUUUGAGACCUCCGAGAUUAGACCCCAUGGUACUUUCUUUGGGAGUCAUUGGAUAGAGUCAGGGUGAUUCAUGAUAGGUUGAAGGUAUCUCAGAGUAGGUAGAAGACUUAUGCAGACCGUAGACUUUAUUCCUUAAGAUUUGGAGUUGGUGAAUAGGUAUUCCUUCGUGUAUCACCCAUGAAGGGUGUGAUGAGAUUUGGGAAGAUGGAAAAGCUUAGCCCCAUAUAUAUUUUACCUUUUGAGAUCCUUCUCACAGUUAGAGAAGUGGUAUAUAAGUUAGCCUUACCCUUAGAUUUUGCUGUUGUUCAUCCAGUUUCUAUGUUUUUAUGUUGUGAUAGUGCAUUCCCGAUGAGAAUUAUGUGCUUCGAUGGGACUCAAUUUAGUUGGAUGAGUGAUUGAACUUUGUGAAGAAGCUUGAGUUCAUAUUAACUACGGAAGCCACUCGGUUGUGCUCUAGAGAGAUUCCAUUAGUUAAGGUCAGUGGAGACACCACCUAGUAGUGGAGGCUACCUGGGAGACCAAGAGUGAGAUGUGGGCCCAGUAUCCUUACCUGUACGAGGCUUUAGAAAUGAGUACUAGCUACUGCGUUAAUAUUGUGUUAGUGCCAUCGGAGUUUGGAGAUAUGGUGACCUUUUGAAGCCGAAGCUAACUUUUUAUCCUUCUUCUAUUUUGGAUGGUCUUUCUAUAUUGAUAAUAUUGUAUAUUUGACACUAAUAGCACUCUUAUUCUUUUGCUAGAGGCUCUUGUACCAACCUUACUAGGUCGUGGGAUAUUGUUACUCUUUUCCUUA